AUUAAUCUUCCCUAAAGUGUAUAUUUUUAGUGAUUUAUAGGGUUGUGAAACUAAGCUUGAUAUAUUCAUCAAGUGGCUGUAAUAGAAACUCCCUUAAAAAGAAAAAAACUUCCCCAAGGGCUUAUCAUCUACUCUUUUAAAAGAACCUUUUUAACCUGUCUACUGUAUGUUGUCACAUCUUCUAGAGAGGAUGACCUUAUCAGAAGACUGCUUCCCACCUUCGGACCGUGGUACGGACAAACGGUGCCCUGGCGUCACGAAGUGAUUGAGAAAUAAUAAUGUGAAGAACUACCUGAAAACCAGACGGCAGAAGAAUACUUGUUUGGAUAACCGCGCUGAUAGCUAUCAACAUUUUACCAGUUUUUAACAUUUUACAAAUGUGAGCCCAUUAAAUGGCCUAUGUGAGGGAGAUGUGACAUAAUGAAUGCCUUCUGGCGUAAAUGAACAGGAUAUUUAUAGAUACAAUCUACAUUGUAAAUGCACUUCUUCUUCCCUUGUUUUUCAUAACAACCAGCAGAAUCAUGAAGGCAGCUCUGGAUUAGGCUGCAAUACAUCAAAAUGACGCAAAGAACUUAUUUAACUUUUUAUUUAUGUAGACUAAAGAUUAGAUUUUUUUUCUCUGGGAUUAGCAAAGUGGCUAGAAAGCUUCCUAAACCAGUCAAGCAUAGCCAUAUGCUAAAAAAUGCUCUGCUUCCCACUGCCACUUUGUCCAGCUCUGCAGAAGUGACGGUGCUUUCUAUAGCGAAUGAUUGACCUUGCUUGACUCCUACGCUUUUUUUGUUAUGUCUGCAAACAACAGCAACAGAUGUGGUAGAGGGUGUGAUGAGGGCAGAAUGAGAGGCCCUAGAGGCAGAUGACAAUAACCCCUUGUGUUUGUGAUGCCAGGGCAUAGUUUAUCCUCAGAACCACUCAAAGGUAUACUGCUGGAACCUGGGCUAGGCACAGGGGCAAUAAUGACUUUGACCCCAAGUUACGGAACCACGGAAGCUCUACUGAGUUAGACAGGUGGAAUAGUCUAUACAGCUUAACUAGGCCCACGGAGGUGACCAGUGACUUCAGAGACCCUAGGGGUUGCUGGGACUUGCAGUGGAUUGGGACAAUUUUGAUGCAGGCCAAGUUGACUGAAGACAGGUUUACUUUGACUUGACUGAGACUGACUAUACCCCGUUUGUUGCUUACCAGACUCUGACUGGGACCUGGAGGGUGUGGACUUGUAGACUUGUUGCUGCGUGGAUGACUUGAGGCCUCCUCUGGACUCCAGACACACUUUUAGGACUUGACUGCAAUGGACCUCAGCAAAGACUUAACUGGAAAUCAAAAGAGCGAGCUAGCUCCUCCCAGGGCUUAUAUAGGGGAGACUAGGAGGGGUCCCAUAGGUCACCAUAAGGUCACAUGGUAACUGAUACCUCACUGGGUUACAAUCACAUGACACUGGUUAGUCACAUGUCAAUGGUUCUUAAAGACAUAACACUUUUACAAUACAAGGGGAACAGGUGCAGGGGCCCACGGAACACUGCAGGGAGGCUGUCUGACAGGGCAACUAGAGUACAGGGGUACAACUCCUCUACCGGGCCACCACACAGGGCUUCGCUCUCCCCGCACUCCCAUAGAGAAUGCAUGGAGGGGCCACCAUUCUGGAGAUCAUGGGGGUCCCAGCAGUCAGUCUCCCCUGCUAUCAGACUCCCCUAUCUUGUAUAUAGGACAUGAGUUUUAAUAAUCUGGAAAACCAAUUUAUUUGUCUUGUGUGAACAUAUCCUUAAAGGGGUACUCCACCAGUAGACAUCUUAUCCCCUAUCCAAAGGAUGGGGGAUAAGAUGUCUGAUCGCGGGGGAGUCCUGCCGCUGGUUACCCCCGCGAUCUCGGCUGCGGCACCCCAGUCAUUCCUGCACAGAACGAACUUCGCUCAGUGCCGGAUGACUGGCGAUGCGGGGCGGAGGCUUGUGAUGUCACGGUCA